CAACAUAGAGAGACCCAGUCUCUAAAAACAAACAACAACAAGAAACUAAGUAGGCACUGUGAUGCUCACUGUAGUACCAGCUACUUGGGAGGCUGAGGCAGGAGGAUCGCUUGAGCCAGGAGUCUGACGCCACAGUGAGCCUGAUGAGGCGGCAGAGCUAGACCCGGUCUCAGCAAAACAAAAACAAAAGCAAAGAUGCUUUCAACAAUCAGGGUGACCCUAAAAGGAUACAGCAACCUUUUGAAAAUACCUCCCCAGGGCUGCAGUGUGACCAUUUCAGCAUGAAAAACAACCAUACAAAUGGUUAAUGAGAACAUGCCUCAUUUAUAAAAGGAGAAAAGUUAACAUACACAUUCCUAAUAAUAAGACAGCAAAAUGAUGGAAAUAACAUUGCAUUGAAUUUUUCUUGAUUUUGGUAAAAAGCGCGUUGACACGUAUGGGGGUUCUGUUUCUUUAAGCUCAUGUCUGUUUACAUAACGUUUGGGUCUGGGUGUGUGUGUGUGUGUCUGGGUGUGCGUGCGGGCGGGUGUGUGUGUGUGUGUAGGCAGGAGAGAGCGAACAAAAUCAAGAGCCCGGGACAAACGCCCUUGAGAAGGGGCGAUGGGAGGGCCAGGCUUGGCGGGCUGGUGCAGAGGAGGGGGCACGUCCCACCCAGGCGCGCCCGGAACAAAGGCGCCUGUCACCCGUCUCUCCCCACGCGGGCUGGCUCUGGAAAGCCCACGGGAAACAAGCCUCACUUUCGGGAAGAGUAAGCCGCAGUCCUCCUAUCCAGGGGACACGAGAUGCUGCGAGAAACCAGUGACGUGUGUUAAACCAGGAGCGCGUGGGAGGUUCUGACCCUGGGGAGGAGCAGACCCCCGCGCGGUGUCCGCGUGCGGACACCCGGAGGGCGGAGUCUGUAACCAAGGCAACCAGACCCGAGGUUUUGAACCGACCAAUUGGGAGGCGUCCCCGAGCUUGAAACUGGGCCUCAAAGCGUUUUACGCAGAGUCGCGGCCACCCAGCGCUGGGAGCCGGAGCCCGCACAGCCCACGCUCCCCUGGCCCCCCAAAGGCGUGCGCGAGAAAGCGCCCGCGGCCGCCCCCUGCGCCCCGCACCUCAGUAUCCCCGCUCCUCCGCAGCGGUGCACCCCCCGGCCCCGCCGUCCGCUACGGCGCGCAGGUCUCCAGGACAGACCCCGGCUCGGAAGGGCUCUGCGGCCUUGGGCGCCUUGGAGGCCGGGCGCGUCCUUUUCCGACCUAAGGACCCCGCCCCUUGCACGCAGCCUCGGUAGCCAGCCGGGAUCGGCGUCCCAGGCUCCAAAUGACGUCUCUUGCUACAUUUCAGCAAAGCAGCCGCUCACCUUCUCCCCAGAGGGCCUCUGUGCGGCCUGAACCUGCCCGCUCGCUCCAAGUCCCGGAGCAAUUGCUGGGACGCAUCUCAGAGCCUGCGCGGGGCGGAGGAGGGGCAUGGGCCACGAACUUUCUUUUCUUGGAAACUUUCUUCCAGUGCAAACCGGAGGCAGCUCCUCUCACCCUGGUGGAAAAGGAUCCGGUGGGGCGGGGCAGGGUGGGGGGGAACAACGCGGGGCGGGGGCGGCACGCCACCCUCCCGCCCUUUGUUUUGCUAUUCCUUCUCCGUCCUCCAUUGACCAGACAGGAAAGGAAUCCUUUGAAUUUUUUUCAAGUUCGUGAGAUAUCCAUUUAGCAUGUACUGUGUGCCAGGCAUAACUGUUCGUAUACUUGGGGUCAACGCAUCAGAUGAAAACAUGCCUCCCGGAGCUUGCAAUUUCGCGGAGGAGGCGGUGAGGAGAGGGAUUCUCCCUGUGCUGCCAGGCUGGUCUCCAACACCUGGGUUCCAGCAGUCCUCCCACCUCAGCCUCCGAUUACAGGCGGGAGCCACCGCUGGCCUUUCCCUAUUAGGCAGACUCGGUGGUCAGCGGAAACUUGAUGGUGAGAGCGCCGCGGUCAGGCUGGCUUCUCCUGGGCGCCCUGCCAAGGAUGCUUGUGCUGCCUCUGGGCUCGCGGCGUCCUGGGCUUGGAAGGUGGGUGACAGCGGAUCCUGUUUUUUUGUGGCCGUGGAUGCCUCAACACUGCCUUCUGGGCCUUCAAAGCCUUCGCUUUGGCUCCGGCUUAGGAGGGACAGGAGCGUCCUUCUGCACUUACGGUGCCAUCUUGUGAAAAGCUCCUUUACUUUCUUUAAAAAAAAAACUUGCUUUCACUUUAUGGAUUCACCCUGAAUUCUUUCUUGCGUGAGAUCCAAGAACCCUCUCUCGGUGUCUGGAUCGAGACCCUUUCUGGUAACAGCACCUCAAUAAAGCUGGGAAAAAAUAAAAAUAGACCAAUAAAGCAUUCUCAACA